UCCCCGAAGGAAUGAGCCCCCGUGGGCGGGAAGCGUAGGCCUUCCCCGUGGCCCUGCGCCGCGUCCUGACCCACGGGCCCCGGAGGCUCCGCUGCCUGUGCCUGCAGGCUGACCCCGGGCACUCACCCUCUAUCUUGUUUGUCUUUUCCCGGCUUCCAGAGCAAGCCUUCAGAAGCAUAGUGGUCCUAUCUAAAAUUCGUCUAGAGUUCUCCAUUUCCUGCAGGAAAAUGGCCAGUUUUUUUAAAAAAAAAAUAUGGAAUAGAACUGCAUUUCCCAAAUUUUAGCAUGCAUCAGAAUCACCGCGAGGCCUUAUCAAGAGAUUUCCAGGACUUCCCUGCUUAUGCUCAGCUUUUCGCUUUCAAUAGGUCUAGGGUGAGGCCCAAGAAUGUAGAGUCUUAACAAGAUCUCAGGUGAUGUGGGCGCUGUCGGUCCGGGACCCACACUCUGAGAACCCCUGGCAUCCAUCAUUCAUGAUCUGGCCCCUGCUUAUUUCUCCUGCUUCAUCCCUCACACCUGCCCCCACAUGUCCCAAGCAAGGCAAACUGAUUAACUUAGGCUAUGCUUUCCAGAUAGCACCCCCUCAGCCUCACUUGCAUAUGCUCUUCCCUGCCAGGAAUCCUGCCCCCUGCCCUUUUCCCCAGGUCCCACCGCCCCAUCCUGGCAACUUGUUCAACCUCUAACAUGAAGCCUUGGGAUGCCUUGCCAAAACUCCCCGGUUCCACAUUUGAGUUUAGGUCCCACUCUUUGUGCUGCCUCUGUACCCACUCUUCCCACCUGAAGUGUAAUAACUGUAGGGUCAUUUGUCUGCUUCCUCAGUAGACUGGGUAGGCUAAGGCCAGGGACUAGCUAGCUUAUCCCUGUAUCCGCAAGUGCCUAGUACAUUGCUCAAGACAUCGCAGCUCAAUAAAUGGGAGCAGGAGAGGGAGGGAGCAAAUGAGAGUGAGAGAGGUGACAUUUUUUCAGUGCUGAUGAUUUUAAUGAUGUUUAAAGACAAAAAAGUGACAUAAGGGAAGUAGCAGUAACAUUAGAAAGGACAGAGGGGGAAAUGGGGAAUUAGUAUUUAGCUUUUAGCAUGUAUCAGAUACUGAGUUAAAUGCUUUGCAUGCUUUGUGCCCCCCACCAAGUUCAUAUGCUGAAACCCACCCCCUAACAUGACUGUAUUUGGAAGUGGGGGCUUUCGGAAGUCAUCAGGAUAGAGCCCUCAUGAAUUGGAUUUAGUGCCCUUGUAAAGGAGACCCCAGAAGGGCCUCUCAGCCCUUCCUCCUUUUCAGGACACAGUGAGAAGAUAGCCAUCUAUGAACCAAGAAGUUCAACUGUGCCAGAAACUGCCAGUGCCUAGAUCUUGGACUUCCCAGCCUCCAGAGCUGAGAGAAAUAAAUGCCUGUUGGACAACAGCGACUUCAUCUCUGCCCGACAGCUAGCCACUUCUGGGUGAUGAUUACUAAGUACAGUUACUUCUCCGGAAACCAGAAGCAGAGACUCAAAUGAGUCACGGUAACACAAAUUAUAGGCAAGACUUCAAGAUACUCCAAAGAAGUGCUUCUCAAGGGCAGCCCUGGUGGUGCAGUGGUUUAGUGCUGCCUGCAGCCUGGGGUGUGAUCCUGGAGACCCUGGAUCGAGUCCCAUGUCAGGCUCUCUAUAUGGAGUCUGCUUCUCCC